rnacentral:rRNA from 1 species
GGAAAAGAAACUAACAAGGAUUCCCUUAGUAACUGCGAGUGAAGUGGGAAAAGCUCAAAUUUAAAAUCUGGCAGUCCUUUUGGCUGUCCGAGUUGUAAUCUAGAGAAGCAUUAUCUGUGCUGAAUCCAUGUAUAAGUCUCCUGGAAUGGAGUGUCAUAGAGGGUGAGAAUCCCGUCUUUGACAUGGACUAUCAGUGCAUUGUGAUAUGCUCUCAAAGAGUCGAGUUGUUUGGGAAUGCAGCUCUAAAUGGGUGGUAAAUUCCAUCUAAAGCUAAAUAUUGGCGAGAGACCGAUAGCGAACAAGUACCGUGAGGGAAAGAUGAAAAGAACUUUGGAAAGAGAGUUAAACAGUAUGUGAAAUUGUUGAAAGGGAAACGCUUAAAGUCAGUCACAUUGAUCAGGGAUCAACCUUGCUUUUUGCUUGGUGCAUUUUCUGAUCAAUGGGUCAGCAUCAAUUUUGACCAGUGGAAAAAGGCUGAGGGAAUGUGGCAUCUUUUGAUGUGUUAUAGCUCUCUGUCAUAUACAUUGGUUGGGAUUGAGGAAUUCAGCAUGCCGCAAGGCCGGGUUUUAACCACGUUCAUGCUUAGGAUGCUGGCAUAAUGAC